UGAGGAAUAUUGGUCAAUGGGCGAGAGCCUGAACCAGCCAAGUCGCGUGAAGGAAGACUGUUUUAUGAAUUGUAAACUUCUUUUAUAGUAGAAUAAAGAUAAGGAUGUAUCCUUAGUUGAAUGUAUACUAUGAAUAAGCAUCGGCUAACUCCGUGCCAGCAGCCGCGGUAAUACGGAGGAUGCGAGCGUUAUCCGGAUUUAUUGGGUUUAAAGGGUGCGUAGGUGGCUUUUUAAGUCAGCGGUGAAAAGCUAUGGCUCAACCAUAGUCUUGCCGUUGAAACUGGAGAGCUUGAGUGGAGAUGAGGUAGGCGGAAUGCGUGGUGUAGCGGUGAAAUGCAUAGAUAUCACGCAGAACUCCGAUUGCGAAGGCAGCUUGCUAAACUCAAACUGACACUGAAGCACGAAAGCGUGGGUAUCAAACA
rnacentral:rRNA from 1 species